rnacentral:rRNA from 1 species
CACCUAACAGCUAGCCCCACUCUCAAAAAACAACCCUUAAUUAUAAAUAAACCCUAAAACAUAAUACGCAUUUAAAACAAAACAUUUUUCCCCCCUAGUAUGGG